rnacentral:tRNA from 2 species
ACUUAAUUGGAUUAAAUCCGUCGAUUUCAAAAAUCAUGAGGGUUCAAGUCCCUCUAUCC